AUUGAACGCUGGCGGCAGGCCUAACACAUGCAAGUCGAACGAGUGGCGGACGGGUGAGUGAUUGCUGGGAAACUGCCUGAUGGAGGGGGCUAACUACUGGAAACGGUAGCUAAUACCGCAUACCAUAAGAUGUGCCCAGAUGGGAUUAGCUAGUUGGUGGGGUAAGGGCUCACCAAGGCUACGAUCCCUAGCUGGUCUGAGAGGAUGACCAGCAACACUGGAACUGAGACACGUUCCAGACUCCUACGGGAGGCAGCAGUAGGAAAUAUUGCGCAAUGGGGGCAAGCCUGAUGCAGCCAUGCCGCGUGAAUGAAGAAGGCCUUCGGGGUGUAAAGUACUUUCAGCGGUGAGGCGUUACCCGCAGAAGAAGCACCGGCUAACUCCGUGCCAGCAGCCGCGGUAAUAC
rnacentral:rRNA from 1 species